rnacentral:rRNA from 2 species
GGUCAAGCGAAUAAGCGCACACGGUGGAUGCCUUGGCGGUCAGAGGCGAUGAAGGACGUGGCAGCCUGCGAAAAGUAUCGGGGAGCUGGCAACAAGCUUUGAUCCGGUAAUGUCCGAAUGGGGAAACCCACCCGCUUGCGGGUAUCCUGCAGUGAAUACAUAGCUGCUGGAAGCGAACCUGGUGAACUGAAAUAUCUAAGUAACCAGAGGAAAAGAAAUCAACCGAGAUUCCGUAAGUAGCGACGAGCGAACGCGGACUAGCCCUUAAGCUGAUUUGGUUCUAGGAAAACGCUCUGGAAAGAGCGGCCAUAGAAGGUGAUAGCCCUGUAUCUGAAAGGGCCAUUUCAGUGAAGACGAGUAGGGCGGGGCACGUGAAACCCUGUCUGAACAUGGGGGGACCAUCCUCCAAGGCUAAAUACUACUGACCGACCGAUAGUGAACCAGUACCGUGAGGGAAAGGCGAAAAGAACCCCGGAGAGGGGAGUGAAAUAGAUCCUGAAACCGUGUGCGUACAAGCAGUAGGAGCUCCGCAAGGAGUGACUGCGUACCUUUUGUAUAAUGGGUCAGCGACUUACUGUUCGUGGCAAGCUUAACCGUAUAGGGGAGGCGAAGGGAAACCGAGUCUGAUAAGGGCGCAUAGUCGCGGGCAGUAGACCCGAAACCGGGUGAUCUAGUCAUGGCCAGGGUGAAGGUGCCGUAACAGGUACUGGAGGCCCGAACCCACGUCUGUUGCAAAAGACGGGGAUGAGCUGUGAUUAGGAGUGAAAAGCUAAUCGAACCCGGAGAUAGCUGGUUCUCCUCGAAAGCUAUUUAGGUAGCGCCUCAUAUGUAUCCUCUCGGGGGUAGAGCACUGUUAUGGCUAGGGGGUCAUCGCGACUUACCAAACCAUUGCAAACUCCGAAUACCGAGACGGACUGUAUGGGAGACACACGGCGGGUGCUAACGUCCGUCGUGAAAAGGGAAACAACCCAGACCCACAGCUAAGGUCCCAAAUUUUGUGCUAAGUGGAAAACCAUGUGGAAAGGCACAGACAGCCAGGAGGUUGGCUUAGAAGCAGCCACCCUUUAAAGAAAGCGUAAUAGCUCACUGGUCGAGUCGGUCUGCGGGGAAGAUUUAACGGGGCUAAGCACAAAACCGAAGCUUGGGGUGCAUAACUUUGUUAUGCGCGGUAGAGGAGCGUUCCGUAAGCCGUUGAAGGUGGAUUGAGAAGUCUGCUGGAGGUAUCGGAAGUGCGAAUGCUGACAUGAGUAACGAUAAUGCGGGUGAAAAACCCGCACGCCGAAAGCCCAAGGUUUCCUUGCGCAACGUUAAUCGGCGCAGGGUGAGUCGGCCCCUAAGGCGAGGACGAAAGUCGUAGUCGAUGGAAAGCAGGUUAAUAUUCCUGCACCUCGCGUAAGUGCGAUGGAGGGACGGAGAAGGUUAGGUGUACCAGGCGUUGGUUGUCCUGGGGAAAGGCGGUAGGUUUGGAUCUUUGGCAAAUCCGGGAUCCUUUAAGACCGAGCACCGAGACGAGCCUUUAUGGCGAAGUCACUGAUACCACGCUUCCAGGAAAAGCUCCUAAGCUUCAGCUUACGCAGACCGUACCGUAAACCGACACAGGUGGGUAGGAUGAGAAUUCUCAGGCGCUUGAGAGAACUCGGGUGAAGGAACUAGGCAACAUGGCACCGUAACUUCGGGAGAAGGUGCACCCUUUUUGGUGGCUCGUGCGAGCUAUAGCUGAAGAGGGUCGCAGUAACCAGGCCGCUGCGACUGUUUAUCAAAAACACAGCACUCUGCAAACACGAAAGUGGACGUAUAGGGUGUGACGCCUGCCCGGUGCUGGAAGGUUAAUUGAUGGGGUCAGCCGCAAGGCGAAGCUCUUGAUCGAAGCCCCAGUAAACGGCGGCCGUAACUAUAACGGUCCUAAGGUAGCGAAAUUCCUUGUCGGGUAAGUUCCGACCUGCACGAAUGGCGUAACGACAGCGGCGCUGUCUCCACCCGAGACUCAGUGAAAUUGAAAUCGCUGUGAAGAUGCAGCGUUCCCGUGGCAAGACGGAAAGACCCCGUGAACCUUUACUAUAGCUUUACACUGAACGUUGAGUUCGUCUGUGUAGGAUAGGUGGGAGGCUAUGAAACUGUGGCGCUAGCUGCAGUGGAGCCAUCCUUGAAAUACCACCCUGUCGUGCUUGACGUUCUAACCUGGGCCCAUUAUCUGGGUCGGGGACCGUGUAUGGUGGGUAGUUUGACUGGGGCGGUCUCCUCCUAAAGAGUAACGGAGGAGCUCGAAGGUACGCUCAGCGCGGUCGGACAUCGCGCACUGUGUGCAAAGGCAUAAGCGUGCUUGACUGCAAGAUCGACGGAUCAAGCAGGUAGGAAACUAGGACUUAGUGAUCCGGUGGUUCUGUAUGGAAGGGCCAUCGCUCAACGGAUAAAAGGUACUCCGGGGAUAACAGGCUGAUACCGCCCAAGAGUUCAUAUCGACGGCGGUGUUUGGCACCUCGAUGUCGGCUCAUCACAUCCUGGGGCUGUAGUCGGUCCCAAGGGUAUGGCUGUUCGCCAUUUAAAGUGGUACGCGAGCUGGGUUCAGAACGUCGUGAGACAGUUCGGUCCCUAUCUGCCAUGGGCGUUGGAGAUUUGAGAGGGGCUGCUCCUAGUACGAGAGGACCGGAGUGGACGAACCUCUGGUGUUCCGGUUGUCACGCCAGUGGCAUUGCCGGGUAGCUAUGUUCGGAAGCGAUAACCGCUGAAAGCAUCUAAGCGGGAAGCGCGCCUCAAGAUGAGAUCUCCCGGGGCACAAGCCCCCUGAAGGAACCAUAUAGACUAUGUGGUUGAUAGGUCAGGUGUGUAAGUACAGCAAUGUAUUGAGCUAACUGAUACUAAUGAUCCGUGUGGCUUGACCAU